rnacentral:rRNA from 1 species
GAUGAACGCUGGCGGCGUGCCUAAUACAUGCAAGUCGAGCGAACGGACGAGAAGCUUGCUUCUCUGAUGUUAGCGGCGGACGGGUGAGUAACACGUGGAUAACCUACCUAUAAGACUGGGAUAACUUCGGGAAACCGGAGCUAAUACCGGAUGAUAUUUUGAACCGCAUGGUUCAAUAGUGAAAGACGGUCUUGCUGUCACUUAUAGAUGGAUCCGCGCUGCAUUAGCUAGUUGGUAAGGUAACGGCUUACCAAGGCAACGAUGCAUAGCCGACCUGAGAGGGUGAUCGGCCACACUGGAACUGAGACACGGUCCAGACUCCUACGGGAGGCAGCAGUAGGGAAUCUUCCGCAAUGGGCGAAAGCCUGACGGAGCAACGCCGCGUGAGUGAUGAAGGUCUUCGGAUCGUAAAACUCUGUUAUUAGGGAAGAACAUAUGUGUAAGUAACUGUGCACAUCUUGACGGUACCUGAUCAGAAAGCCACGGCUAACUACGUG